CAAUAGCGUAUAUUAAAGUUGUUGCAGUUAAAAAGCUCGUAGUUGGAUUUCUGGUAGGAGCGACCGGUCCGCCCUGUUAAGGGUGUGUACUAGCGUUGUCUCUGGCCAUCCUUGGGGGAACGUGCGCGGGGAGGACUUGCGUUAGGGUAACCCGACUCGUUUACUUGUGAAAAAUUAAGAGUGUUUAAAGUACAGGCUUAUGCCGUUGAAUACAUUAGCAUGGAAUAAUAAGAUAGGACCGCGUGGUCGUCUUGUUGGUUUGUCACCGCGAGGUAAUGAUUAAUAGGUACAGUUGGGGGUAGUUCUAUUUAAUUGUCAGAGGUGAAAUUCUUGGAUUUAUGAAAGACGAACUUCUGCGAAAGCAUUUACCAAGGAUGUUUUCAUUAAUCAAGAACGAAAGUUA
rnacentral:rRNA from 1 species